rnacentral:rRNA from 1 species
GACGAACGCUGGCGGCGUGCUUAACACAUGCAAGUCGAGCGGUAAGGCCCUUUCGGGGGUACGACGAGCGGCGAACGGGUGAGUAACACGUGGGUGACCUGCCCUCAGCUCUGGGAUAAGCCCGGGAAACUGGGUCUAAUACUGGAUAUUACUCUGCGGUGCAUGCCGUGGGGUGGAAAGCCUUGUGCGGCUGGGGAUGGGCCCGCGGCCUAUCAGCUUGUUGGUGGGGUGAUGGCCACCAAGGCGACGACGGGUAGCCGGCCUGAGAGGGCGACCGGCCACACUGGGACUGAGACACGGCCCAGACUCCUACGGGAGGCAGCAGUGGGGAAUCUUGCGCAAUGGGCGAAAGCCUGACGCAGCGACGCCGCGUGGGGGAU